UUAAGCCAUGCGAGUCUUCCCGCAAGGGAGGCGGACUGCUGAGUAACACGUAGCUAACCUGCCCUCGGGUGGGGGAUAACCUCGGGAAACUGAGGAUAAUACCCCAUAGGAGAUAACAUCUGGAAGGAGUUAUCUCCGAAAGGCUUUGCCGCCCGAGGAUGGGGCUGCGGCGGAUUAGGUUGAUGUUGGGGUAACUGCCCAACAUGCCUAUAAUCCGUAGGGGCCCUGAGAGGGGUGGCCCCCAGAUGGACUCUGAGACAUUAGUCCAGGCCCUACGGGGCGCAGCAGGCGCGAAACCUUCCCAAUGCGCGCAAGCGUGAGGGGGGUAGUCCCUGUGCUUCCCAUGUGGAAGCUUUUCUCCACUAUAAAAAGGUGGUGGAAUAAGGGGUGGGCAAGACCGUUGCCAGCCGCCGCGGUAAUAACGGCGCCCCAAGUGGUGAUCCCGUUUAUUAGGCCUAAAGUGUCCGUAGCCGGGAGAGUAAGUCUUCUGUGAAAUCCCCCAGUAGACUGGAGGGCUUGCAGGAGAUACUGCUCUCCUUGGGACCGGGAGGGGCUGAGGGUACUCACAGGGUAGGGGUGAAAUCCUGUAAUCCUGUGGGGACCACCUGUGGCGAAGGCGCUCAGCUGGAACGGAUCCGACGGUGAGGGACGAAAGCCAGGGGAGCAAACCGGAUUAGAUACCCGGGUAGUCCUGGCUGUAAACGAUGCUCGCUAGGUAUUAGGGACCUCAUGGGGGUCCUUAGUGCCGGAGUGUAGGCGUUAAGCGAGCCGCCUGGGGAGUACGGUCGCAAGGCUGAAACUUAAAGGAAUUGGCGGGGGAGCACACAAGGGGUGGAGUCUGCGGUUC
rnacentral:rRNA from 1 species